rnacentral:lncRNA from 1 species
NNNNNNNNNNNNNNNNNNNNNNNNNNNNNNNCCAAGCUGUUACAGAAAGGCAAAAGAGCAGUUACAUUGAAUUCAACCCUGGGGGAAGGGUCUUUUCACUGCAAGGGGAGGAGGGGUACUCUUACACAACAAAAGAGCAGUUAAUUAUUUAAAGACUGGGGGGGGGGUCUUUCAGUAGAGGGGGCAGUUCCGGGAUCAGGCAGUGUUCCUAAGAGCCAAAUUCAUCUCCGCCAGAACCAGCAUCUCUCUCCCUCUCCCAUGCUUCUGGGGUUAUUGUCUGUUUCUUCUCUUGUUUUGGGGGGCAGUUGCAGUUCUGAUGGGCACCUUCUCCCCAGUCCAAUCAGAGAAAGUGAAGAAAAGCCUUUCUGUCUUCCUGCCUGCAGGGAUCUUGCACAGGGAAGGUGCUCCAAGGGCAUCCAGGACAAGGCCGUUGUGAGGAAGGACACCAAGACGUGCCUGGAGAGGAUCUGAAUUUGGGGCUGAGACGUAUCAAAGAGUGACAAUGACAAUGGGGAUAAUGACUUGGGAUUUUUGCCUACCUUGGAGCACAAAAUGCACCUGUUGCCUUGAAGGCAUGACAACUCCCUUGAGAACAAUAUUACUGUUAGUGUCAUUGUUGUGAUUGUUGCAAUUAGAUUUGACCGAACACUGACUUCACGGAGCUGCUUCUGAGUGUGUCCAUGUUCUCUCUGCCUCCUACACUUGACUACUUCAAACACGGCUACCUGUGGCCACACUUUAGAUGGAAUCCAGUGAGACUUUGGCUCUUGCCAACAAAAUUAGGAAAACUGGGCUUGUUUUCUCCUCUUUAUAAAAAUGGGAAGAAACAACAACAAAGGAAAAUGUAAAAGUUACUAUUUCUUCAUUCUCUAAGUGACAUAGAAUGUUAUCUAAAUAAAUAUUUG